UACUAUAUACUAGCCAUCUCUGUUCUACAUUACUAUAUACUAGUCAUCUCUAGUAUAUAGUCAAACACAGCUGGGUCUGAGAGGUGAUGCUGGUAGGAAAUCAUAAACACAGCUGGGUCUGAGAGGUGAUGCUGGUAGGAAAUCAUAAACACAGCUGGGUCUGAGAGUUGAUGCUGGUGGGAAAUCAUAAACACAGCUGGGUCUGAGAGGUGAUGCUGGUGGGAAAUCAUAAACACAGCUGGGUCUGAGAGGUGAUGCUGGUAGGAAAUCAUAAACACAGCUGGGUCUGAGAGGUGAUGCUGAUAGGAAAUCAUAAACACAGCUGGGUCUGAGAGGUGAUGCUGAUAGGAAAUCAUAAACACAGCUGGGUCUGAGAGGUGAUGCUGGUAGAACUAGAGAUAUCUGUCAUCACCAUCAGUAUCUGUCUGUUAGAACUAGAGAUAUCUGUCAUCCCCAUCAG
rnacentral:lncRNA from 1 species